UUUCCGUAGGUGAAUCUGCGGAAGGAUCAUUAUCGUAGGGCUUCGGUCCUGUCGAGAUAGCGUCCUUGCCUAUUUUUUGGAGUACCUUUUCGUUUCCUCGGCAGGCUUGCCUGCCACUGGGGACCACUUUAAAACCUCUUAUGUAUGCAGUAAACGUCCACAAAUAAAUGAAAUCAAAACUUUCAACAACGGAUCUCUUGGUUCUGGCAUCGAUGAAGAACGCAGC
rnacentral:misc_RNA from 1 species